AAAGAAGAAGAAGAAGCCGCGAAGAUGUUCCGUGAGAUCAAACUUUUCCGUUAGAACCGAAAAGACGAGGUUUGAAACAAUCAUAAAGAAUCAUAUUGACGGUAAGUUCGGUUACCAGCCUUUAGUAAUAUCGUGUCAGGUUGUUAUAAGAUGUUGUUCUGUGUGUUUAUUAGAUCGUAGUAACACUGCUGUUGUUGGCGCCAUGAGAUGGAUUGAAAUCGAAAGUGAAAGUAAAUCCAAUGGAAUCGUGCACGUGAUUCUUGGGUGGGGAGGUUUAACCACCAGGGCAAGGGGGAAUGGUCCAUGGGUAAUAGUCCUGCCACCACAGCUGGAAAAAAUCCUAGAGGAAACACUGACCUACCCUGCCUUUAAUGGAACAUUUGUUAUCUGUUAGAUCAUAAUAGAAGUGUACAGGGAAGAUGUCAGAAUUUGAAAUAAGGAAGAGGAAGAGGAAGAGAUCUUCAUCUCCAGAACCCAGCUGUGUGUCUCUGAAGAGCAGUCAAUCCAUAAAUCCUCCUCUUGAAUUCAGUGAUGAACCAGUGACCUCUGACCCCAGGUGAUUAUCAACAUGUAUUU
rnacentral:lncRNA from 1 species